UACGAAGGGGGCUAGCGUUGUUCGGAAUUACUGGGCGUAAAGCGCGCGCAGGCGGCUAUCCAAGUCAGUGGUGAAAGCCCGGAGCUCAACUCCGGAACUGCCAUUGAAACUGUUUAGCUUGAGUAUGAGAGAGGUGAGUGGAAUUCCCAGUGUAGAGGUGAAAUUCGUAGAUAUUGGGAAGAACACCGGUGGCGAAGGCGGCUCACUGGCUCAUUACUGACGCUCAGGCGCGACAGCGUGGGGAUCAAACAGGAUUAGAUACCCUGGUAGUCCACGCCGUAAACGAUGAAUGCUAGCCGUUGGGCAGCUUGCUGUUCAGUGGCGCAGCUAACGCAUUAAGCAUUCCGCCUGGGGAGUACGGCCGCAAGGUUGAAACUCAAAG
rnacentral:rRNA from 1 species